UGCAAGUCGAACGCUGAAGCUCCAGCUUGCUGGGGUGGAUGAGUGGCGAACGGGUGAGUAGCACGUGAGUAACCUGCCCUUGACUCUGGGAUAAGCCCGGGAAACUGGGUCUAAUACCGGAUACGACCUCCUGCCGCAUGGUAUGGGGGUGGAAAGAUUUAUCGGUCUUGGAUGGACUCGCGGCCUAUCAGCUUGUUGGUGAGGUAAUGGCUCACCAAGGCGACGACGGGUAGCCGGCCUGAGAGGGUGACCGGCCACACUGGGACUGAGACACGGCCCAGACUCCUACGGGAGGCAGCAGUGGGGAAUAUUGCACAAUGGGCGCAAGCCUGAUGCAGCGACGCCGCGUGAGGGAUGACGGCCUUCGGGUAGUAAACCUCUUUCAGUAGGGAAGAAGCGAAAGUGACGGUACCUGCAGAAGAAGCGCCGGCUAACUACGUGCCAACAGCCGCGGUAAUACGUAGGGCGCGAGCGUGAUCCGGAAUUAUUGGGCGUAUAGAGCUCGUAGGCGGUUUGUCGCGUCUGCCGUGAAAGUGCGGGGCUUAACCCCGGAUCUGCGGUGGGUACGGGCAGACUAGAGUGCGGUAGGGGAGACUGGAAUCCCUGGUGUAGCGGUGAAAUGCGCA
rnacentral:rRNA from 1 species